GGGAAGAACGGCGAGGCGGGAAGGCGGCGCAGGGCAGGAGGGAGCAGCCCCGGGAGCCGGCGGGCGCUCGGCACUCCGUCGGGCCGGCGCUGGGGCCGGCGCUACAGCUUGGCCACUUUCCCUGUGAUGGAGCAACACAGCUGAGCCGUGGGUUGACUUAGGCUUGCAUCAGCUGGAGUGACAAGAGGUGGCUGUGGGAACUCUGUGGCUCUCUGGAGCAAGGUGCUUGGGCUGCAUCCUGCCUCUGAUGCCUGGUCCUGGAAGACAGAAGAGUGAGGAGCAGCAGCACGUCCUGCAGUCAUACAGUGAUGGACUUGUUUUGGUUGGAGAGCACUGAAUCCAACCCUUCACCCAGCACUGCCAGGUCAUGGCUAAGCCAUGGCCCUCAGCACCUCACCUCCACAGCUUUGAAAGCCCUCCAGCGUUGGGGACUCCACCACUGCCCUGGGCAGCUUGGGGCAAGGGCUGGACAACCCUUUUGGGGGAGAAGUUGUUCCUCAUGUGCAACCUAAAUCUCCCCUGAUGCAACUUGGGGCCAUUUUCUCCUGUCCUAUAGAUGGUACUUAGGAGAAGACACUUAGCAUGAACCCUUUGAUUGCUGUUAAUUAUGGACUUGGGAGUUCAGUGCUGGUCUGUGUAUUUGUGUUUAACAACAGCAAAUGUAACCAAUAUUUAUUAGACUAAUAAAGCAGAGAAA